CUGUCAAUUAAUUAAUUCCGUAAAAGAAUAUCGGAGAGUAUCCAAUCUAUACACAUGAUAAACGGUGUAAAAAUGUUUCAUGGAAAAAACAAAGCAAACAAGCAAAGACAAAGACAAAUACCAACACCAUCACCACGGUGAUAACAGAUGAUGCUGAUUCAAUAUCUGCAACCAAUUCUAGCCAAAUACUUGGAUAGCUGGACUCUACAAUCAAUACCCAGGUAUUCUACAAACACAACCUCCAGCAAUGUAUCUAAGGAAUGUAAACUUCUACAGGCCUGUAAAGACUUUGGAUUACAA